rnacentral:lncRNA from 13 species
UUGUCAAAAAACAGAUAUUAGGUUUUGCACAACAUGGGUCCUAUUAUGCCUGGCGAAAAGGAGCUAUUAGGUUUUGGACAACAUGGGUCCUAUUAUGCCUGACGAAAACCAGAUAUUAGGUUUUGAACAACAUGGGUCCUAUUAUGCCUUGCGAAAACCAGAUAUUAGGUUAUGGACAACAUGGGACCUAUUAUGUCUGGUGAAAACCAGAUAUUAGUUUUUUUUAUACAACAUGGGUCCUAUAAUGCCUGGCAAAAACAGAUAUUGGGGUAUGGACAACAUGGGUCCUAUUAUGCCUGGCGAAAACCAGAUAUUGGGUUAUGGACAACAUGGGUCCUAUUAUGCCUGGCGAAAACCAGAUAUUGGGUUUUGGACAACAUGGGUCCUAUUAUGCCUGGCGAAAACCAGAUAUUGGGUUAUGGACAACAUGGGUCCUAUUAUGCCUGGCGAAAACCAGAUAUUGGGUUUUGGACAACAUGGGUCCUAUUAUGCCUGGCGAAAACCAAAUAUUAGGUUUUGGGAAACAUUG